UUCUCAUAAAUGUGACUGAUUGUCUCAUGUUUUCUUUUAUUCAUUGUAAACUCAACUCACGCAACCGAAUUAAUGUAUAGCGUCGUGGAAAAAGUAAGCCCAAUACUAGUUAAUUUGAAAGCCUGUAUUAAUUCUCCUUGUUACUAAAGAUAGCUCCCUUUCUCGUUCCAGGUGAUAUGUUAGUCCAUAUUCGUAUUAUGUUGAAGGGCUUAACUAUGUUUUCUGAAGGGCGCAAGUGAUCUGUGACCUAGGCUCUGUCCUAUACAUAUACGGAUGGCUCCUACUACAUAGCAAAUUAAUAAUAUAGUAACAUGAAAAAUAAAACCAUAAAUAACUAUUGGCUACCCAUCUAUACCAUAUACAGCAGCGUUAUCGCCAGGUAUUGGACAAUUUACAUUACACUCAUGUGGCAUGAAAUCACAGAUGGAGCACUCAGAAUAUCAAAUGUAAACAGAUGUAAAGUACCAGUAUCCUAGAUAAAAUUUAAGACAAGUAUGUAUGUUUCCCUUCAUCUUUAAUCGUUUCAUUUAUCUUCAAAAGCUUCACAUAGUUCAUCAUUUUGACAGAUCCUGAUUUCUGAUAUUAAAUUAAAGUUCUAUGAUCUUCUAGGAAAGCGAAAGAUAAGGUUACGGACCUGACAUGUACACGCAGUGAAUUAUUUUAAGCGGAUUUACGUCAAACUACAUUGUGCAAGCACUAGUUGUGACUAGUUAAUCAAUAAAUUAAACAUCCUAUUUAAAGAAAAUCUUCUUAAUUUAUAAAACAUAGCUAGGACCACGGUUGAAUGUGGGUGACAACAUGGAAAGGUGUUCAGAAAGAAAGUGUGGAUAUCAGCUUACCAGACACAAGUUAAACCUAUGCAUUUGUGGAUCGAGUGCAACGCUAUUUGUGGAUCGUCACGCACGCAAUGGGAACGUUGUCCUGUGGGCGACGAAUGUCUGCACCGCAGGAUGACAAAAAUCAAAAAUCGUUCAAAUCCAUCCAAGAACCGGGAGAGUCAAAGCGUAUUCUCAGUAUGAAUGUCAUGAUUCUCUCUGAUAGAAAAAUUAUCCAGCUAUACCACCCUGCAGAAGACCCCAGUCGGCCUGCUGGCAUCCCACGUAACUCAGGGCCCCCCCGGGCCCUCAGGCAAGGACGGUACCCCGGGCCCUUCAGGAGAACCAGGGCCCCCUGGCCCUCAAGGUUACAGAGGUCAGAAGGGCGAGCGGGGUCAGCUGGGUCUUGGCCUACCAGGAGAACCGGGGGCUACAGGCGCACCAGGUAA
rnacentral:lncRNA from 1 species